rnacentral:rRNA from 1 species
GACGAACGCUGGCGGCGUGCUUAACACAUGCAAGUCGAACGAUGAAAGCGGAGCUUGCUCCGCUGGAUUAGUGGCGAACGGGUGAGUAACACGUGGGCAACCUGCCCCAGACUCUGGGAUAACUCCUCGAAAGAGGUGCUAAUACCGGAUACGAUCUCCUUGGGCAUCCUUGGAGCUGGAAAGUUUUUCGGUCUGGGAUGGGCCCGCGGCCUAUCAGCUUGUUGGUGGGGUAGUGGCCCACCAAGGCGACGACGGGUAGCCGGCCUGAGAGGGGAACCGGCCACACUGGGACUGAGACACGGCCCAGACUCCUACGGGAGGCAGCAGUGGGGAAUAUUGCGCAAUGGGCGAACGCCUGACGCAGCGACGCCGCGUGAGGGAUGACGGCCUUCGGGUUGUAAACCUCUUUCAGCAGGGAAGAAGCGAAAGUGACGGUACCUGCAGAAGAAGCACCGGCUAACUACGUGCCAGCCGCCGCCGUAA